CAAAACCGCCCUGCAGGCACCCACCUUCUCGAACGUCUCCUUGAUCUGCUUGAUGGCUUUGCCCCUCUUCUCGCAGGUGAAGAAGUGGUGCUGCAGAGGUGAGAGGCAGUGGGUUAACUCAGUGCUGUUCCUUCCUGCUGCUCCUGGGGUGACUCAGCCCAUGCAGGCUGCGUGGUCGCAGCAGUUCCAGCAGUGGGGAUGCCAAUGCACACAGGUAUAGAGAAGGGCAAGGAGAAAUGCCACCCCAAUGGGGUUUUGCUCGUUCUAAUUGCUCUGCCCCCCUGGCUCCUGGCCCUAUCUCCCUGCCCCAGGAAGACACAGGGACCAUCCCUGCAGUACAGAGCCCACUCACACAACGUCUCAUCGUCAUCUUCAGGCUCAGCAGCAUGUCGCCCAGCUGCACGCAGUGUAAGCCAGUUGCGUCCAUUCCACAAAGGAAACUGCCCUGCACACGCACGAUGCUCGCUGUGUUUACCUGUGUUUCCUUCGCCAUGGCAGAGAUUUUGACGGUGCAGUUUCGCUCUGACUCACCACUGCUUACUGCUGUGGAAACGCAUUGACUCUGCAGUACUACGAAGCUGUUGCAUGAAUGAAUAAAGCACCUUUCCUAAAGAGUGUCCGAGGACGUGGGUGUAUAUCUAAACCUUUAGGAAACAGCUUUCAUGAUUGCCAAGAAGAUCAUUUCAGGAAGGAAAUGUUACUCAAAAGCCUUUUGCACUCUUUGAUGCUGGCAGUUUCCAUAGGGGCAACUUCUCCCAUUUUUUUUUCCCUCUGGGUCUCAGUCAUUGCCUUUGGACAAGGGAACAUGGUGUAU